UACGUUCCCGGGCCUUGUACACACCGCCCGUCACACCACGAAAGCCCGUCAGACCAGAAACGGCUGGGCUAACCUUCGGGAAGCAGGUCUUUAAGGUCAAACUGGUAAUUGGGGUG
rnacentral:rRNA from 1 species